GACCCCUGGCAAUGGCAAAGAGACACCUUGUUGGUAGUGGUGUUCUUCUAUCAGUCAGGGGCAGGACAAAUGGUAGUCUUUUGUUCAUCUUAGCUUGAUGCAUGAUUUGGUGGUCAAAGAUUUCUUAUGCUUAGGACUCAAAA